rnacentral:rRNA from 1 species
UGAGGAAUAUUGGUCAAUGGGUGCAAGCCUGAACCAGCCAUCCCGCGUGAAGGACGACUGCUCUAUGGGUUGUAAACUUCUUUUGUAUAGGGAUAAACCUACCCUCGUGAGGGUAGCUGAAGGUACUAUACGAAUAAGCACCGGCUAACUCCGUGCCAGCAGCCGCGGUAAUACGGAGGGUGCAAGCGUUAUCCGGAUUUAUUGGGUUUAAAGGGUCCGUAGGCGGACUUAUAAGUCAGUGGUGAAAGCCUGUCGCUUAACGAUAGAACUGCCAUUGAUACUGUAAGUCUUGAGUAUAUUUGAGGUAGCUGGAAUAAGUAGUGUAGCGGUGAAAUGCAUAGAUAUUACUUAGAACACCAAUUGCGAAGGCAGCCAUCUGGCCUAAUACUGACGCUGAGGU